rnacentral:rRNA from 1 species
UUAAUUGAAGAGUUUGAUCAUGGCUCAGAUUGAACGCUGGCGGCAGGCCUAACACAUGCAAGUCGAGCGGCAGCGGAAAGUAGCUUGCUACUUUGCCGGCGAGCGGCGGACGGGUGAGUAAUGUCUGGGGAUCUGCCCGAUGGAGGGGGAUAACUACUGGAAACGGUAGCUAAUACCGCAUAACGUCGCAAGACCAAAGUGGGGGACCUCAGGGCCUCACACCAUCGGAUGAACCCAGAUGGGAUUAGCUAGUAGGCGGGGUAAGAGCCCACCUAGGCGACGAUCUCUAGCUGGUCUGAGAGGAUGACCAGCCACACUGGAACUGAGACACGGUCCA